rnacentral:rRNA from 1 species
UACGUAGGCAGCAAGCGUUGUUCGGAAUUACUGGGCGUAAAGAGUGUGUAGGCGGUGUUCCAAGUCUGGUGUGAAAUCUCCCGGCUUAACUGGGAGGGUGCAUUAGAAACUGGAAUGCUAGAGGAUGGGAGAGGUAAGCGGAAUUCCUGGUGUAGCGGUGAAAUGCGUAGAUAUCAGGAGGAACACCUGUGGUGUAGACAGCUUACUGGACCAUUUCUGACGCUGAGACACGAAAGCGUAGGUAGCAAACAGG